GACUACAGGGGUAUCUAAGCCGGUUCGCUCCCCACGCUUUCGCUCCUGAGUGUCAGGACCAGUCCAGGAUGCCGCCUUCGCCGCUGGUGUUCCUCCGGAUCUCUACGCAUUCCACCACUACACCCGGAAUUCCGCAUCCCCCUACUGGCCUCUAGUCCGCCCGUAUCGCACGACACUCCCCAGUUGAGCCGGGGUCUUUCACGCACGACGCAACGGACCACCUGCGAGCGCUUUACGCCCAAUAAAUCCGGACAACGCUUGCCCCCUACGUAUUACCGCGGCUGCUGGCACGUAGUUAGCCGGGGCUGAUUCCCCAGGUACCGUCACUAUCUUCCCUGGGAAAAGGGCUUUACGACCCGAGGGCCUUCAUCACCCACGCGGCGUUGCUGGGUCAGGCUUUCGCCCAUUGCCCAAAAUUCCUCACUGCAGCCACCCGUAGG
rnacentral:rRNA from 1 species